AGAGUUUGAUCAUGGCUCAGGAUGAACGCUGGCGGCGUGCCUAACACAUGCAAGUCGAACGGAGCGCUGAGACUUCGGUUUUUGUGCUUAGUGGCGGACGGGUGAGUAACGCGUGAGCAAUCUGCCUUUCAGAGGGGGAUAACGACUGGAAACGGUCGCUAAUACCGCAUAACGUAUUUUGCAGGCAUCUGCGAGAUACCAAAGGAGCAAUCCGCUGAAAGAUGAGCUCGCGUCUGAUUAGAUAGUUGGUGAGGUAACGGCCCACCAAGUCGACGAUCAGUAGCCGGACUGAGAGGUUGAACGGCCACAUUGGGACUGAGACACGGCCCAGACUCCUACGGGAGGCAGCAGUGGGGAAUAUUGCGCAAUGGGGGAAACCCUGACGCAGCAACGCCGCGUGAUCGAAGAAGGUCUUCGGAUUGUAAAGAUCUUUUAUCAGGGACGAAGAAAGUGACGGUACCUGAUGAAUAAGCUCCGGCUAACUACGUGCCAGCAGCCGCGGUAAUACGUAGGGAGCGAGCGUUAUCCGGAUUUACUGGGUGUAAAGGGCGAGUAGGCGGGCUGGUAAGUUGGAAGUGAAAUGUCGGGGCUUAACCCCGGAACUGCUUUCAAAACUGCUGGUCUUGAGUGAUGGAGAGGCAGGCGGAAUUCCUAGUGUAGCGGUGAAAUGCGUAGAUAUUAGGAGGAACACCAGUGGCGAAGGCGGCCUGCUGGACAUUAACUGACGCUGAGGAGCGAAAGCGUGGGGAGCAAACAGGAUUAGAUACCCUGGUAGUCCACGCCGUAAACGAUGGAUACUAGGUGUGGGAGGUAUUGACCCCUUCCGUGCCGCAGUU
rnacentral:rRNA from 1 species